UAGGGAAUCUUCGGCAAUGGACGAAAGUCUGACCGAGCAACGCCGCGUGAGUGAAGAAGGUUUUCGGAUCGUAAAACUCUGUUGUUAGAGAAGAACAAGGACGUUAGUAACUGAACGUCCCCUGACGGUAUCUAACCAGAAAGCCACGGCUAACUACGUGCCAGCAGCCGCGGUAAUACGUAGGUGGCAAGCGUUGUCCGGAUUUAUUGGGCGUAAAGCGAGCGCAGGCGGUUUCUUAAGUCUGAUGUGAAAGCCCCCGGCUCAACCGGGGAGGGUCAUUGGAAGCUGGGAGACUUGAGUGCAGAAGAGGAGAGUAGAAUUCCAUGUGUAGCGGUGAAAUGCGUAGAUAUAUGGAGGAACACCAGUGGCGAAGGCGGCUCUCUGGUCUGUAACUGACGCUGAGGCUCGAAAGCGUGGGGAGCAAACAGG
rnacentral:rRNA from 1 species